ACGCACUCUCGUUUAGAUUGAAGGAGCUUGCUCCUGAUUGAUAAACAUUUGAGUGAGUGGCGGACGGGUGAGUAACACGUGGGUAACCUGCCCUAAAGUGGGGGAUAACAUUUGGAAACAGAUGCUAAUACCGCAUAAAACCUAACACCGCAUGGUGUAGGGUUGAAAGAUGGUUUCGGCUAUCACUUUAGGAUGGACCCGCGGUGCAUUAGUUAGUUGGUGAGGUAAAGGCUCACCAAGACCGUGAUGCAUAGCCGACCUGAGAGGGUAAUCGGCCACACUGGGACUGAGACACGGCCCAGACUCCUACGGGAGGCAGCAGUAGGGAAUCUUCCACAAUGGACGAAAGUCUGAUGGAGCAACGCCGCGUGAGUGAAGAAGGUUUUCGGAUCGUAAAACUCUGUUGUUGGAGAAGAAUGUAUCUGAUAGUAACUGAUCAGGUAGUGACGGUAUCCAACCAGAAAGCCACGGCUAACUACGUGCCAGCAGCCGCGGUAAUACGUAGGUGGCAAGCGUUGUCCGGAUUUAUUGGGCGUAAAGCGAGCGCAGGCGGUUUCUUAAGUCUGAUGUGAAAGCCUUCGGCUCAACCGAAGAAGUGCAUCGGAAACUGGGAAACUUGAGUGCAGAAGAGGACAGUGGAACUCCAUGGUC
rnacentral:rRNA from 2 species